GAAACCCGGUGAUCUAGCCAUGGGCAGGUUGAAGGUUGGGUAACACUAACUGGAGGACCGAACCGACUAAUGUUGAAAAAUUAGCGGAUGACUUGUGGCUGGGGGUGAAAGGCCAAUCAAACCGGGAGAUAGCUGGUUCUCCCCGAAAGCUAUUUAGGUAGCGCCUCGUGAAUUCAUCUCCGGGGGUAGAGCACUGUUUCGGCAAGGGGGUCAUCCCGACUUACCAACCCGAUGCAAACUGCGAAUACCGGAGAAUGUUAUCACGGGAGACACACGGCGGGUGCUAACGUCCGUCGUGAAGAGGGAAACAACCCAGACCGCCAGCUAAGGUCCCAAAGUCAUGGUUAAGUGGGAAACGAUGUGGGAAGGCCCAGACAGCCAGGAUGUUGGCUUAGAAGCAGCCAUCAUUUAAAGAAAGCGUAAUAGCUCACUGGUCGAGUCGGCCUGCGCGGAAGAUGUAACGGGGCUAAACCAUGCACCGAAGCUGCGGCAGCGACGCUUAUGCGUUGUUGGGUAGGGGAGCGUUCUGUAAGCCUGUGAAGGUGGCCUGUGAGGGUUGCUGGAGGUAUCAGAAGUGCGAAUGCUGACAUAAGUAACGAUAAAGCGGGUGAAAAGCCCGCUCGCCGGAAGACCAAGGGUUCCUGUCCAACGUUAAUCGGGGCAGGGUGAGUCGACCCCUAAGGCGAGGCCGAAAGGCGUAGUCGAUGGGAAACAGGUUAAUAUUCCUGUACUUGGUGUUACUGCGAAGGGGGGACGGAGAAGGCUAUGUUGGCCGGGCGACGGUUGUCCCGGUUUAAGCGUGUAGGCUGGUUUUCCAGGCAAAUCCGGAAAACCAAGGCUGAGGCGUGAUGACGAGGCACUAC
rnacentral:rRNA from 1 species